rnacentral:rRNA from 1 species
GUUGAACGCUGGCGGCAUGCUUUACACAUGCAAGUCGAACGGCAGCGCGGGCUUCGGCCUGGCGGCGAGUGGCGAACGGGUGAGUAAUGCAUCGGAACGUGCCCCGUAGUGGGGGAUAGCCCGGCGAAAGCCGUAUUAAUACCGCAUACGACCUGAGGGUGAAAGCGGGGGACCGAAAGGCCUCGCUCUAUUGGAGCGGCCGAUGUCGGAUUAGCUAGUUGGUGGGGUAAAGGCUUACCAAGGCGACGAUCCGUAGCUGGUCUGAGAGGACGACCAGCCAAACUGGGACUGAGAAACGGACAAGACGACUGAGGGAGGAAGCAGUGGGGAAUAUGGGACAAAGGGGGAAACUCUGAACCAGCCAUGCCGCGUACGGGAAGAAGGCCUUCGAGUUGUAAACCGCUUUUGUUCGGGAAGAAAUCCUGUGGGCUAAUACCGAGAGGGGAUGACGGUACCGGAAGAAUAAGCACCGGCUAACUACGUG